GAGCGGCGAACGGGUGAGUAACACGUGAGCAACCUACCCUCAACUUCGGGAUAAGCCUCGGAAACGGGGUCUAAUACCGGAUAUCAUCUCGCGCUUCAUGGUGUGGGGUUGAAAGUUCUGGCGGUUGGGGAUGGGCUCGCGGCCUAUCAGCUUGUUGGUGGGGUAAUGGCCUACCAAGGCGUCGACGGGUAGCCGGCCUGAGAGGGCGACCGGCCACACUGGGACUGAGACACGGCCCAGACUCCUACGGGAGGCAGCAGUGGGGAAUAUUGCGCAAUGGACGAAAGUCUGACGCAGCAACGCCGCGUGAGGGAUGACGGCCUUCGGGUUGUAAACCUCUUUCAGCAGGGACGAAGCGAAAGUGACGGUACCUGCAGAAGAAGGACCGGCCAACUACGUGCCAGCAGCCGCGGUAAUACGUAGGGUCCGAGCGUUGUCCGGAAUUAUUGGGCGUAAAGGGCUCGUAGGCGGUUCGUCACGUCGGGAGUGAAAACUCGGAGCUUAACUCCGAGCCUGCUUCCGAUACGGGCAGACUAGAGGUAGGCAGGGGAGAGCGGAACUNCU
rnacentral:rRNA from 1 species